rnacentral:rRNA from 1 species
GAUGAACGCUAGCUACAGGCUUAACACAUGCAAGUCGAGGGGAAACGGCAUCAAGCGCUUGCGCCUGAUGGACGUCGACCGGCGCACGGGUGAGUAACGCGUAUCCAACCUGCCCCACACUAAGGGAUAACCCGCAGAAAUGUGGACUAAUACCUUAUAUUUUCCACCAAGGGCAUCGUCGAUGGAACAAAGAUUUAUCGGUAUGGGAUGGGGAUGCGUCCGAUUAGGUUGUUGGCGGGGUAACGGCCCACCAAGCCUUCGAUCGGUAGGGGUUCUGAGAGGAAGGUCCCCCACAUAGGAACUGAGACACGGUCCUAACUCCUACGGGAGGCAGCAGUGAGGAAUAUUGGUCAAUGGGCGCGAGCCUGAACCAGCCAAGUAGCGUGCAGGACGACGGCCCUAUGGGUUGUAAACUGCUUUUAUGCGGGGAUAAAGUCAGCCACGUGUGGGUGUUUGCAGGUACCGCAUGAAUAAGGACCGGCUAAUUCCGUGCCAGCCGCCGCGGUAAAAGGG